rnacentral:SRP_RNA from 1 species
ACUAGAUGUGUCUACAAGCGCGCCUCCUCGC